UCAGUUAUGCGUUGAAAGCACCGGUUCUCGUUCGAUCAUCGAAGUUAAGCAACGUUGGGCCCGGUCAGUACUUGGGAGGGUGACCACCUGGGAACACCGGGUGCUGUAAACC